CGUUCGCCUGUUGAGGACAGAUGAAGUGUAUGUGGGUGUCGACACCGCCUGCCGUGACGAUCUUGCCCUCGCCGGCCACGACGUCCGUACAGCUGCCGACAAUCAUGUUGGGCGUCACGCCGUCCAUGACGUCGGGAUUGCCCGCCUUUCCAAUGCCCACAAUCAUACCAUUCUUAACACCAAUGUCGGCCUUGUAUAUUCCCGUCCAGUCGACGACAAGCGCGUUGGUGACAACCAUGUCCAACGACUCUGCAUCCGGCCGGCCCGUCGCCUGACCCAUGCCCUCUCUCAACG
rfam:Glomerella graminicola M1.001 genomic scaffold supercont1.2, whole genome shotgun sequence.